rnacentral:tRNA from 1 species
GGAGGGUUAGCUCAGUGGUAGAGUGUGUGCUUAGCAUGCAUGAAGUCCUGAGUUCAAUCCCCAGCACGGCCA